rnacentral:rRNA from 1 species
CAGCAGCCACGGGAAUACGUAGGGUGCAAGCGUUAAUCGGAAUUACUGGGCGUAAAGCGUGCGCAGGCGGUUCGCUAAGACAGAUGUGAAAUCCCCGGGCUUAACCUGGGAAAUGCAUUUGUGACUGGCGGGCUAGAGUGUGGCAGAGGGGGGUAGAAUUCCACGUGUAGCAGUGAAAUGCGUAGAGAUGUGGAGGAAUACCGAUGGCGAAGGCAGCCCCCUGGGCCAAUACUGACGCUCAUGCACGAAAGCGUGGGGAGCAAACAGGAUUAGAUACCCCUGUAGUCCCUGUCUCUUAUAC